UGUCACGGUGCCUGUCAGUUCACCUCCCCCCCUCCUACAGCUCUCACCACCUUGCUGAUUGGAACCAGCUGAUCCUCAUCUUCUCAUCAUCCUGCCGGUCUUCAUAAGGGAGCUCUCACCAGAAUUCUACGCCAGUUUGUUAUACUCACUCCGGUUCCUACCUUGGUCACGCUGGUUCCUCCCCUCCACGCUGGUCCUGCCGUCCUCGGCAUCCACGCCUCGUUCCAAGCUGGUUUCCGCCGUCCUCGGCGUCCACGCCUUACCUCAAGCCGGUCCCGCUGUCCUCAGCGCCCAAGCCUCGCUCCCUCUGGAUCCACAGUUCGACGCGUCCUCGUGUCGCCCCCUCCCCUUCAUCUGCAUCAGCUCAAAGGAAACACCAAGUUCAAUCCACGGAGGAAAUACGUCCACAUCCCCUCAGAAACUUAUUUACCUCUGGUAAAAUAAAUCCAUUUAAAGUCA